rnacentral:rRNA from 1 species
GAAUUUUGGGCAAUGGGCGAAAGCCUGACCCAGCAACGCCGCGUGAAGGAUGAAAUCCCUCGGGAUGUAAACUUCGCAAGAACGGGAAGAAUAAGUAAGAGUUAACAUCUCUUACGAUGACGGUACUGUUUGUAAGCUCCGGCUAACUCCGUUCCAGCAGCCGCGGUAAUACGGGGGGAGCAAGCGUUGUUCGGAUUUACUGGGCGUAAAGGGCGCGUAGGCGGCCACCGCAAGUCGACUGUGAAAUCUCCGGGCCUAACCCGGAAAGGUCAGCCGAUACUGCGGGGCUAGAGUGCAGAAGGGGCAACUGGAAUUCUCGGUGUAGCGGUGAAAUGCGUAGAUAUCUGGAGGAACAUCGGUGGCGAAGGCGGCAUCCUGGACCGGUAUUGACGCUGAGGCGCGAAAGCCAGGGGAGCAAACGGG